rnacentral:rRNA from 1 species
GACGAACGCUGGCGGCGUGCUUAACACAUGCAAGUCGAACGGAAAGGCCCUGCUUUUGUGGGGUGCUCGAGUGGCGAACGGGUGAGUAACACGUGAGUAACCUGCCCUUGACUUUGGGAUAACUUCAGGAAACUGGGGCUAAUACCGGAUAGGAUCUCCUGCUGCAUGGUGGGGGUUGGAAAGUUUCGGCGGUUGGGGAUGGACUCGCGGCUUAUCAGCUUGUUGGUGGGGUAGUGGCUUACCAAGGCUUUGACGGGUAGCCGGCAUGAGAGGGUGACCGGCGACAAUGGGCCUGAGAUACGGCCCAGACUCCUACGGGAGGCAGCAGUGGGGAAUAUUGCACAAUGGGCGGAAGCCUGAUGCAGCAACGCCGCGGUCGGGAUGACGGCCUGCGGGUUGUAAACCGCUUUCGCCUGUGACGAAGCGGGAGUGACGGUAAUGGGUAAAGAAGCACCGGCUAACUACGUG